rnacentral:rRNA from 1 species
UACAGAGGUCCCAAGCGUUGUUCGGAUUCAUUGGGCGUAAAGGGUGCGUAGGCGGCGCGGUAAGUCGGGUGUGAAAUCUUGGAGCUUAACUCCGAAACUGCAUUCGAUACUGCCGUGCUUGAGGACUGGAGAGGAGACUGGAAUUUACGGUGUAGCGGUGAAAUGCGUAGAUAUCGUAAGGAAGACCAGUGGCGAAGGCGGGUCUCUGGACAGUUCCUGACGCUGAGGCACGAAGGCCAGGGGAGCAAACGGG